GGAACCAAAAUUCGGGAAGUGUUUCCGCCCGGACCGGAAAAACAGAACACCGGAACUUCCGGUAGCGCCGUAAGAGGGAAAAUCAGGGAAUUCGAUGCACCUGUGCCUAGUUAGGGACAGCGGUUGGUGAUUGGAGGAUACGCUGGACAAGGCAGUACUUAAGGCCAAGUUAUUUCACAGUCUGGGAGCUCUUUCUGGCUGGAAUUGUAUGAUUGUGAAGACAUCGCGAACCUUAAAGGUUGAGAAGUGAACGGAUUAUACGGCGAAUUGAGACGACGUGAAAAAGGGGAUUGGAAGCGGCAUUGAUGUGAGUACUAAGAGCAAGCCGAAAGUGCCCUGUAUAUUGACCUGGCGUUAUGUAGAUCUCUCCAGGAGGAGGAGGGCGGCCCUACCCCUAAUAUAGCGUGGUGGGAGAGCCGAAGGAAUACUUAUUGGAGUAGUCACAACGACGACAUCACUAGCUAGGCCGCAUAUUCCAUCGCCAGACCCGAACCAAGCGAAGUGAAGGAAGACGGGUGUCCUUUUCGUACACUGAGUGUGGUGGGUGAGUCUUCGUGCUGUGAAAACCUAUAAUUUUGACGUGGUGCUGUAUAUUGCUGUGGGUUGCUGUGUAUUGCCGUGUGUCCUGUCAGAUAAACCCCCGCCUUCACGCACUUCGUCGCGGGAGGACAAGGAGACUGCUGGUUCUAGCCUAGUUCAGUACAGUAUAUGUUGUGAGCGUGCUUCAGAUCUCCGGAGAUAGCACGGUACGCUGUGUUCAGCCCAGAGGUGGGAGCUAUUCAAAGCAAACUAACUGUGCUUUGUGUCCAAUCUGAUACCUGUGGAGAGAAAAGGAAAGAGAGAGUGAGUAACACAAGGAGAAACAGAGGAAACCUGUACUUACAGUACGCUGUGUUCAGCCCAGAGGUGAGAGUCAUUCAAAGCAAACUAACUGUGCUAUUGUGCCCAAGUUGAUACCUGUGGAGAGAAAAGGAGAGAGAGUGAAUAACACGAGGAGGAAUAGAGCGAACCCUGUACUUACAGUACGUUGUGUCCAGCCCAGAGGUGAGAGCCAUUCAAAGCAAACUAACUGUGCUAUUGUGCCCAAGUUGAUACCUGUGGAGAGAAAAGGAGAGAGAGUGAAUAACACGAGGAGGAAUAGAGCGAACCCUGUACUUACAGUACGUUGUGUCCAG